GAAAUGCGAUACUUGGUGUGAAUUGCAGAAUCCCGUGAACCAUCGAGUUUUUGAACGCAAGUUGCGCCCGAUGCCAUUAGGUUGAGGGCACGUCUGCCUGGGUGUCACACAUCGAAUCCCCUUGCCAAUUUCCUAUUUAUUAGGUAUUGCGUGCAGGGUGAAUAUGUUGGCCUCCCGUGAGCUCUGUCUCGUGGUUGGUUGAAAAUUGAGACCUUGGUAGGGUGUGCCAUGAUAGAUGGUGGAUGUGUGACCCACGAGACCAAAUCACGUGUAGCUCUAUUGAACGUGGACUCUUUUACCCACAUGUGUUUUAUAACGCUCGUGAUGAGACCUCAGGUCAGGCGGGGCUACCCGCUGAAUUUAA
rnacentral:misc_RNA from 1 species